UAAAUUCAAUACAUCGUUAGACACUUUGUGACACGAAUAGUGAUCUGCUAGCUUGAAGUGUUCAUCUAUUUCGAACCUUCGAAAGACUUUGGUGCUUCCGUCAGAGGUUGAGUCUUGUUUGAAGAUCAUCAGUGUUAUUAUUUCUGAAAAGUUACUAAUUUCUUUUUGUACUUGUCACCUUUUUCUCUAAAUAUUUAUAUUGGUUCACCUGAUAACAAGGAUGCGAGAAUCAAAAAAUUUUCUUUCAUUUCAAGGUCACGUGAAGUCGGAUGAUUGAUAUCCCCAUUGUUAUAGAAAGGUCCAUGAAAAUAGCCGUCUAUGUCAAAACCCUGUCAGUGUCAGAUAAAUUUAUAAAUUGUUGAAAUCUGUUUCAGUCAUAUUUUGUGAGAAGAUUCAUUUAAUAAUUUUAUACUCAUACCUGUUCAAUCCAAUUCAGAUAUGUGUUAACCUAAAUUUCUUGUUAAAACUGCAUUAUUUGUCUUUGUGUACAUACAAUGGGAACUGUACAUGCAAAGGCCCAAGAAAAUUUUACUGACGUACAAGACAUCCAAAAAAACACAUUUCGAGAUGAUUCAGAAAAAGAACAAAUCAAAGAAAUCGAUCUUGAAGGAGUUAAGGUAUGCCUUAUGUGAAUUCAUGCUUAUGUGAUACAGGUGCUGAAACAUCCUCAACGUAAUACUUCAAGACUUCAAAGAUUUGCAUUUUGCGUUUUUUACAAAUAAAUAUUCAGAUUAUAUAACGUUAUCCAAUAUAAUUAUUUGCUUGUUAGCUCAA